ensembl:ncRNA asRNA:CR44067 antisense RNA:CR44067
CGCGGCCGAGAAGAAGGCAACCCAGGGGAAACGCAGGUCGAAAACUUUCGGAUGUGGGACUGCUGAUGCUGCUAUCAGUCAUUUCCUCGGCCUCUUUAGCCGCAGCUUCAUUGACAGCAUCUGGUUUUGGCGGAUCUUUCUCACUUUCGUUGGCGGAGGAGAAUUUGACAGGACUCUCUAUUAGCUCAACACUGCUGUCCGAAUCCACAGCUACCAAAACCGGGCUGCUUGCAAUGGCUUUCGUGUUCUCUCCCUUGCGGUCCUCCGAUUCGUCGGCCAACUUUCCAGGUUCAUCAGGGGCCUUACCUCCAUAUGGGCACUGCUUCCUGGUUGAACCGGUGGCGGCGAUUGCUUCACUGUGUGUCAGUUCCUCAAUUUCCACAUCCUUUGCGGCUUGUUCUGCAGGAGACUCCAAGCUAUUUUCUCCUUUGCGCACCGGCAACCCGUAACUUUUUUCCCUCGACGCCGGUGUUUCUUGGACAUCCUCCACUGUGCUUCCACUGCUCUCUAAGCAGUCCACGGCUGUUGGCUGCCCAGACAUAGUUUUAAUGAGUUUACUUAACUUUACACAUUAAUGCAAAUUUGCGAGACAAGCGAUAACAUUGUAUAAAAUUUCGCUCGUAAUUUGCCAGCCCUAGAUUUUAGUGGCAGAAAGAAGAAGAGUGUCUAUUCACACAAAAGAAAAAGAACGGAAAUUCAAAAUGUUCGCUGCUGC